GAUGAACGCUGGCGGCGUGCCUAAUACAUGCAAGUCGAGCGAACAGACGAGGAGCUUGCUCCUCUGACGUUAGCGGCGGACGGGUGAGUAACACGUGGAUAACCUACCUAUAAGACUGGGAUAACUUCGGGAAACCGGAGCUAAUACCGGAUAAUAUAUUGAACCGCAUGGUUCAAUAGUGAAAGACGGUUUUGCUGUCACUUAUAGAUGGAUCCGCGCCGCAUUAGCUAGUUGGUAAGGUAACGGCUUACCAAGGCAACGAUGCGUAGCCGACCUGAGAGGGUGAUCGGCCACACUGGAACUGAGGCACGGUCCAGACUCCUACGGGAGGCAGCAGUAGGGAAUCUUCCGCAAAGGGCGAAAGCCUGACGGAGCAACGCCGCGUGAGUGAUGAAGGUCUUCGGAUCGUAAAACUCUGUUAUUAGGGAAGAACAAAUGUGUAAGUAACUAUGCACGUCUUGACGGUACCUAAUCAGAAAGCCACGGCUAACUACGUG
rnacentral:rRNA from 1 species